UUUUUCUGUACCAUAGGUUGAUAAUAGAGUCCAGGAAAAGAGUUGUUUAGAAAGAUCGAGGUUUGAUGAGUAGUAGGGGCAUCAAACAAGAUUACUUAGGCUUGAUCUAAGAAGCAGUAUCAGAAAACUUAGGCUUGGUCUAGAGAGAGAGAAGCUAUGCAUUUUGGUAAGAACAGGGAUUGAUGAGCAAUAAGGACAUCAAACAAGAUUAUCUAGGC
rnacentral:lncRNA from 1 species